GAUGAAGAACGCAGCGAAACGCGAUAAGUAAUGUGAAUUGCAGAAUUCAGUGAAUCAUCGAAUCUUUGAACGCACAUUGCGCCCGCCAGUAUUCUGGCGGGCAUGCCUGUUCGAGCGUCAUUACAACCCUCAGGCCCCCGGGCCUGGCGUUGGGGAUCGGCGGAGCCCCCCGUGGGCACACGCCGUCCCCCAAAUACAGUGGCGGUCCCGCCGCAGCUUCCAUCGCGUAGUAGCUAACACCUCGCGACUGGAGAGCGGCGCGGCCACGCCGUAAAACACCCAACUCUUCUGAAGUUGACCUCGAAUCAGGUAGGAAUACCCGCUGAACUUAAGCAUAUCAAUAAGCGGAGGA
rnacentral:misc_RNA from 1 species